rnacentral:rRNA from 1 species
GAUGAACGCUAGCGGCAGGCUUAACACAUGCAAGUCGAGGGGUAGAAGUUGCUUGCAACUUUGAGACCGGCGCACGGGUGCGUAACGCGUAUGCAAUCUACCUUAUACAGAGGGAUAGCCCAGAGAAAUUUGGAUUAAUACCUCAUAGUAUAAUUGAAUGGCAUCAUUUAAUUAUUAAAGUCCCAACGGUAUAAGAUGGGCAUGCGUCCUAUUAGCUAGAUGGUAAGGUAACGGCUUACCAUGGCAACGAUAGGUAGGGGUCCUGAGAGGGAGAUCCCCCACACUGGUACUGGGAUACGGACCAGACUCCUACGGGAGGCAGCAGUGAGGAAUAUUGGACAAUGGGCGCAAGCCUGAUCCAGCCAUGCCGCGUGCAGGAAGAAGCAUCUAUGGUGUGUAAACUGCUUUUGUACGGGAAGAAACACUCCUUCGUGAAGGAGCUUGACGGUACCGUAAGAAUAAGGAUCGGCUAACUCCGUGCCAGCAGCCGCCGUAACAC